rnacentral:rRNA from 1 species
UACAGAGGUCUCAAGCGUUGUUCGGAUUCAUUGGGCGUAAAGGGCGCGUAGGCUGCGGGGUAAGUCGGGUGUGAAAUCUCAGAGCUCAACUCUGAAACUGCACUCGAUACUGCCGUGCUUGAGGACUGGAGAGGAGACUGGAAUUUACGGUGUAGCGGUGAAAUGCGUAGAUAUCGUAAGGAAGACCAGUGGCGAAGGCGGGUCUCUGGACAGUUCCUGACGCUGAGGUGCGAAGGCUAGGGGAGCAAACGGG